rnacentral:rRNA from 1 species
UACAGAGGGUGCAAGCGUUAAUCGGAUUUACUGGGCGUAAAGGGCGCGUAGGCGGUUAUGUGAGUGUGAUGUGAAAGCCCCGGGCUCAACCUGGGAAGUGCAUCGCAAACGACAUAACUGGAGUAGGUGAGAGGGUGGCGGAAUUUCCGGUGUAGCGGUGAAAUACGUAGAGAUUGGGAAGAACACCAGUGGCGAAGGCGGCUAUCUGGACGGUUUCUGACACUAAGACUCGAAAGCGUGGGGAGCAAACAGG